rnacentral:rRNA from 1 species
AGUGAAUCAUCGAAUCUUUGAACGCACAUUGCGCCCUCUGGUAUUCCGGGGGGCAUGCCUGUUCGAGCGUCAUCAAAACUACUCAAGCUAAGGUUUACCUUCUGCUUGGUCUUGGAAUUGGAGGCUUAUGUCUCCUUUCUGAAAUACAGUGGCGAAUUGACUGUGCUGUAAACGUAGUAACUUUACCCGUUGAAAGCAUGUUCACAUUCCGCCAAAACCCCCUCUAUUAUCUAGUUUGACCUCGGAUCAGGUAGGGAUACCCGCUGAACUUAAGCAUAUCAAUAAGCGGAGGAAAAGAAACCAACAGGGAUUGCCUUAGUAACUGCGAGUGAAGCGGCAAAAGCUCAAAUUUGAAAUCUGGGGCCUCACAGCCUCCGAAUUGUAAUUUCACGAUACGUUUUCGACUGAAGGCUCUGCUUUAAGUUCCUUGGAACAGGACGUCACAGAGGGUGAGAAUCCCGUGAUAGGUGGAGCCUGAUGCAUAUGAUACGUAUUCAACGAGUCGAGUUGUUUGGGAAUGCAGCUCAAAAUGGGAGGUAAAUUUCUUCUAAAGCUAAAUAUUGGCGAGAGACCGAUAGCGCACAAGUAGAGUGAUCGAAAGAUGAAAAGCACUUUGAAAAGAGAGUUAAAAAGUACGUGAAAUUGUUGAAAGGGAAGCGCUUGAGACCAGACUCAAUCUGUAGUGAUCAAUUUGGCUUCUGUCAGAUGCACUUGCUACUUAUUGGGACAGCAUCGGUUUUGGCGGUGGGAUAAAGUCUUGAGGAAUGUAGCUAUCUUCGGGUAGUGUUAUAGCCUCUUGAGUAAUGCCACCAGCUGGGACCGAGGACCGCGCC